rnacentral:rRNA from 1 species
UAUUAUAUUUAAUAUAAUUAUUAUUACUUGGGUAGUAAUAGUAAAUGCUUGAAACCCAAAGAAUUUGGCGGUAUUUUAGUCUUUUCAGAGGAAUCUGUUCUGUAAUUGAUAAUACACGAUUUGUUUUACUUAAUUUUGUUAUCAGUUUAUAUACCGCCGUCAUAAGAUUAUUUUUAUUUAAGAAUUAAAUUUUCUUAUUCUUGUAUUAAAAUAUAUGUCAGGUCAAGGUGUAGCUUAUAAUUAAGUAGAGAUGGAUUACAAUAAUAAUAAUUAUUACGGAUAAUUGGUUUUAAAUUUAAUUUGAAGGUGGAUUUGAUUGUAAAUUUAUUUUUGAUUUUUAUGUUGAUUGAAGCUCUAAAAUGUGUACAUAUCGCCCGUCGCUCUCGUUAUUAAGAUGAG